UUCCGGUUGAUCCCGCCGGACCUGACUGCUAUCGGAUUGAUACUAAGCCAUGCGAGUCUUUGUAGUAAUACAAGGCAUACGGCUCAGUAACGCGUAGUCAACCUACCCUAUGGACAAGAAUAAUCUCGGGAAACUGAGCAUAAUUCUUGAUAGAUCAUAAUGCCUGGAAUGGUUUAUGGUUGAAAUGAUUCGUCGCCAUAGGAUGGGACUGCGGCCUAUCAGCUUGUUGGUGAGGUAAUGGCCCACCAAGGCGAUUACAGGUACGGGCUCUGAGAGGAGAAGCCCGGAGAUGGGUACUGAGACAAGGACCCAGGCCCUAUGGGGCGCAGCAGGCGAGAAAACUUUGCAAUGUGCGAAAGCACGACAAGGUUAAUCCGAGUGAUUUCUGCUAAAGGAAUCUUUUGCAAGUCAUAAAACCACUAGUGAAUAAGGGGUGGGCAAGUUCUGGUGUCAGCCGCCGCGGUAAAACCAGUACCUCAAGUGGUCAGGAGGAUUAUUGGGCCUAAAGCAUCCGUAGCCGGCUCUGUAAGUUUUCGGUUAAAUCCAUGUGCUCAACGCAUGGGCUGCCGAAAAUACUGCAUGGCUAGGGAGUGGGAGAGGUAGACGGUACUCAGUAGGAAGGGGUAAAAUCCUUUGAUCUAUUGAUGACCACCUGUGGCGAAGGCGGUCUACCAGAACACGUUCGACGGUGAGGGAUGAAAGCUGGGGGAGCAAACCGGAUUAGAUACCCGGGUAGUCCCAGCUGUAAACGAUGCAGACUCGAUGAUGCAUUGGCAUAUAGCCAGUGCAGUGUCGCAGGGAAGCCGUUAAGUCUGCCGCCUGGGAAGUACGUACGCAAGUAUGAAACUUAAAGGAAUUGGCGGGGGAGCACCACAAGGGGUGAAGCCUGCGGUUCAAUUGGAGUCAACGCCGG
rnacentral:rRNA from 1 species